rnacentral:rRNA from 1 species
GAACGAAAUCUUAGGAUUUAGUGGCGGACGGGUGAGUAACGCGUGAGAAUCUGGCUUUAGGUCUGGGACAACCAUUGGAAACGGUGGCUAAUACCGGAUGUGCCGAAAGGUGAAGCGCUUACUGCCUAAAGAUGAGCUCGCGUCUGAUUAGCUAGUAGGUGGGGUAAAAGCCUACCUAGGCGACGAUCAGUAGCUGGUCUGAGAGGAUGAUCAGCCACACUGGGACUGAGACACGGCCCAGACUCCUACGGGAGGCAGCAGUGGGGAAUUUUCCGCAAUGGGCGAAAGCCUGACGGAGCAAUACCGCGUGAGGGAGGAAGGCUCUUGGGUUGUAAACCUCUUUUCUCAGGGAAGAAAAAAAUGACGGUACUUGAGGAAUCAGCAUCGGCUAACUCCGUGCCAGCAGCCGCGGUAAUACGGAGGAUGCAAGCGUUAUCCGGAAUGAUUGGGCGUAAAGCGUCCGCAGGUGGCUGUGUAAGUCUGCUGUUAAAGAGCGAAGCUCAACUUCGUAAAGGCAGUGGAAACUACACGGCUAGAGUGCGUUCGGGGCAGAGGGAAUUCCUGGUGUAGCGGUGAAAUGCGUAGAGAUCAGGAAGAACACCGGUGGCGAA